ACCUAAAUAGUUUAAUUUAAAAUUUUGAUUUGUGGUGUCGAAGAUAUAAGAGUUUAUUUUAGGUC
rnacentral:tRNA from 1 species